UACAGAGGUCUCAAGCGUUGUUCGGAUUCAUUGGGUGUAAAGGGUGCGUAGGCGGCGCGGUAAGUCGGGUGUGAAAUCUUGGAGCUUAACUCCGAAACUGCAUUCGAUACUGCCGUGCUUGAGGACUGGAGAGGAGACUGGAAUUUACGGUGUAGCGGUGAAAUGCGUAGAUAUCGUAAGGAAGACCAGUGGCGAAGGCGGGUCUCUGGACAGUUCCUGACGCUGAGGCACGAAGGUCAGGGGAGCAAACGGG
rnacentral:rRNA from 1 species